UAUUACAGGAAUAAAAACACAUUCUGGUUGGUAGUCCAGAAGCACAAUUUUGUGUCAGUAACCUUCCCCUCCAAAGGAUGUCCGUUUCCUGUUAUAACACA
rnacentral:ncRNA from 1 species